rnacentral:piRNA from 1 species
UUACAAAUCAUGCACUCUCUC